CCUACGGGAGGCAGCAGUAAGGAAUAUUGGUCAAUGGAGGCAACUCUGAACCAGCCAUGCCGCGUGCAGGAAGACAGCCCUCUGGGUCGUAAACUGCUUUUAUUCGGGAAUAAACCUCAUUAUGUAUAGUGAGCUGAAUGUACCGAAGGAAUAAGGAUCGGCUAACUCCGUGCCAGCAGCCGCGGUAAUACGGAGGAUCCAAGCGUUAUCCGGAUUUAUGGGUUUAAAGGGUGCGUAGGCGGCUUUUUAAGUCAGGGGUGAAAGACGGUAGCCCAACUAUCGCAGUGCCCUUGAUACUGAAGAGCUUGAAUGGACUAGAGGUAGGCGGAAUGUGACAAGUAGCGGUGAAAUGCAUAGAUAUGUCACAGAACACCGAUUGCGAAGGCAGCUUACUAUGGUUUUAUUGACGCUGAGGCACGAAAGCGUGGGGAUCAAACAGGAUUAGAUACCCUGGUAGUCCACGCCCUAAACGAUANAUACUACGCUGUUAGUCGAUACACACGUAGUACGGCGUAACGACGAACGACGUUAACGUUAAGUUACCUACCGUACGGGUAGGUACGGUACGGCGACGAGUUAGUAACGUAACGAAAGAAAGUUAGUACGGACGUGAGACGUAGACCGACGGACGACGACGAGGGGAGGAGG
rnacentral:rRNA from 1 species